UCCAAUCCGCCGAUCUCCACCAACUCCAUCCGUCAAAACACUGUAGCGCCAAUCGGUCGAUCUCCAACUGUAGCACCAAACGGCCGAUUCCCAAUCGUGGCCUUUUAACCUACUGCUUCGGCCAAUUCUUUCUUUCCUUUGACACCGAUUCCAUAUGUGUCAAAAUCUGGCGUCAACACAUGCCCCCCAGUUUCGGAGCAAAACAUGACUUUUACUUUGAAAUUCCUUUUCAACUUCUCCUCUGAAACAAACGCAGCACAAAUCUUCUUUCGUUUCGUGGUCUUCUACCUAAUGAUUGCAAUCUUUUUGAAACGGGCGCCUGAGACAACCGCUCCCUGGAAAUUCGUGUAGACGGCGCGGUAAAAAUCCUGCCUUUACCCGUCUCGGACCGCCUUUAAAUACUGGCAUACCCCGUACUUCUUCUUCACAAGCCAGUAACUUCCUUUCCGGCGCAUCAGUUCCCAUCUUCUUCCGGCGCCCUUUCGGCUUCCAACCGCAUCCUCCGGCGAUCCCCCUUUCAUCCGCAUUCUGCUUCAUCUUCCCAAUGGCGGCACCGUCAGCAACCCCACCAGCAACGGAGACUCCACCAGCAGCUCCAACGGCGGCGGCAGCAGCUCCAUCGGCGACGGAGGCUCCACCGGCGGCUUCAUCAAUGGCGGCAGCUCCACUAGCAGCUCCGUCGGUGACGAUGACUUUCAUCCCAGAGGCUCUUAUCCGGAACUUUUCUUUUUACUUUUACCAUCCACGCAUUUGUUUUAGACCCAUUCUUAGUUCUUCCCAUUUUACCUUUUUUACGUGGUCAGACACCAAAUCACCAUUCGCCUUUCUGAAGCCCCUGGCCUCAUCUGUCUAGGUCCCAUGGGGAAUCCAGACCCAAUUGAUCUGAUAAAUUUAGAGACUCACAGAAUCCCGUUUAAACAAUCACCAAUGAACUCGAACCAGUGGUCGGGCACCUUUAGAUCUUGGCCGAAUGAAACCCCCGGUUGGAAAGAGUGGUACCAAAGGAUAGCCAACUCCAAGAGAGUUCAAUGGGACGAGCGAAAAAUCAGCUAGUGCAUCAAUCUUUCUCUGUCUCAGAUGGAGAGAAAUGAGCCCUUUGUGAUGGCAGCCUCCUACUUCUGGUCCGACGCUCUCAAUGCGUUCCUUUUUGGACAUGGACCCGUGACCCCGACUUUGGCCGAUGUUGUGAUGUUGACCGGCCUUGACAUUUCUUCCCCCGAUACUCCCUUCCAUUAUCUGGUCAAGCUGACCCAUCGACUGGAGACAAAAGGAAUCGGCGGGUGGAAGAGGUACAUUAAAAACAACAUGAAGACCGGGACAGUUUCCGAGAGAGAAUACGCGGCCUUCUUAAUGAUGUGGCUGGAGAAACAUCUUUUCUGCGGCAGGGCAGUCGGUCCAUCUUCCAAUACACAAGCUCUGGCCGAAGCACUAUCAAGAGGAGCCUCCGCCCCCCUCGGGAAGCAUCUACUAGGAUCGGCCUAUCAUAUGUUGCACCAAAUCAGCGUCAAACUAUCAAAGAGAGAGCCGAUUGGAAACCCAGGUGGCCCCUGGUGGUUCAUCAAUCUCUGGCUCAAUUUGUAUAUGAGCAAGAUCUCACAGCAUCGGGUGGAACACAUGACAUUCCCCAAUAUUGAGUCAGAAGAAAACCCCACCGUACGACGCCGAUGCACCUCUUUCGGUGAAGCAGCAUCAGUCUUCCCUGGUUGCCAGCUCACCGCCACCAAAGUAGCCGAAUACUUCAGAUAUUUUUACAACGGCUUCAUUGAAGAAACCACCAGCUAGUACCCGUAUCAGAGGAUAGAGCCGCCUUUUGAGCUCCCGUUCUGUUAUGAUUCAACGUCCAACACCUUUGACAACGAUCUCAUGGACGUCUUGAUCAAGCCAGGGAUCUUACCAGCGAACUUUUUCUUGGGGAAGGAUGCCCCUACUUACGAGUUUUACAACCCAUCAGUUGCAGCACGACAGUUCGGCCUAGGUCAGCUGCCGAUUCGAGUCUACUUCGCCGGUCGCGUGAAAUUCUGAGACGAGCUCACCAAGGGCCUUGACUAUAGUCGGCUGUGCGACCGAGUGCCUGAUUUCAGCACCAUCGAUUUGAACAACUGGAUAGUAGCUCCUUUUGCUGUCCAACCAUUCAAAUUAUGGUGGGCAGAAUGGAAGCAGCACCUAUUUUUUGUGUCUCCCACGACAUAUUGCAAUGAUCUGGAUCCUGAGAACAUCGAUCCGAAUGCAGCGUCCGAGAGUCGACUUCCUCCAACGCGCAGCCAGAGUGGCAGGCCAAUAGAGAAUCGCUACCCAUAUACGGAAUUUGCACUCAUCGGCCAUCAUGCCCCAUCCAUUGAUGACAUCACCACCGGCCGACUGAAACAGGCGUCGAAGAAAACCUCAAAGAAGACAAGCCACCGAGUGUGCGCCCGCACGGAAUCGGCCGAUCAGUCGGUGGCGGCAUCGGCGGAAUCUUUGGCAGCACCAAUUCUCCCGGUCAUCGAGGAAGUUGACCCCCAAGCUGCUACGGAGGCUGGAGCGGCCACUGCAUCAUUGCUACUAGAAGCCAUUCAAGUAACCUCAUGUUCACAUCCUCCUGAGUAUUCUCCUAUACUGACUUCUUAUUUAUAUUAGGCUGCACAAGUUGCCUGGUGCCUCCGCAGCAAUCGGCCACGCCCCAAGCAGAAAUUGGAGUGCCAGUAAUUCCUCCCACCGAGGCUACCCUUGGUACGUCAAUUGUACCUUUUCAACAGCCAUCGGUCAGGGAACCCACGGAGGAGGCCGGUCCGAGUAGGACACCAAUAAUCAUCGAAUCCUCCUCCUCUGAUGAGCUGGUCGCACGAGUUCCUGAACUAAGGGCAGCACUCCCGCCGAUGCAAGCAGAAGAAAUCCGCUUCAAAGAGGAACAAGAUACUCCCAACAAUAGCCUUUUCUCUUUCGCGGUCGCGCUUUCUGAUGAUGAGGAGGUUGCUUCACGUCAGGUCACUCUGAGCUCAAUCCCCGAUGAUGUCCGUGCCAAACCUUAGAGCAUACGGACCCUCCUCCAAGAAGAUAUCGGCCGAUUGGUGGAGGACGCCUCGCCGAUUCGGUAGCUCUUCAGUGAUAUUAGCGGCCGAGUCCCAGAAGAGGUGGAAGAACCCCUGGCGCCCGCCGCAUACAUUGAGUCAAUGCGGAUCCCAAUGUUCAGGGCUUUGCGCCACAUGGCCGAUCGCGCCAAGCUAGCUAAAGCUCGUGAAGAGGAAGAUUCUUACAAACACCGAGCCCAAGAGGUACAUCACCAAAUCCACUUCCUUGAAAGUUCCCGCCCGGGUAUUGUUGGUGCUAUAAACCGCCUCAAGCGCCGAAGAGCAGAGCUCGCCAAGGAGAUGGAGCAGGUGACCAAGGACAUAGCCAUUGAGGAGAAAAAACUCCAAGACCUCCCUUCUGUUAUCGCCGAGCUAAAGCAAGAGAGCCAGAGCCUAGCCCACGAAGCGAUCAAGCUCCAUCACCAUAUGCCAAAAGUCCCUGGAUCGGCCGACGACGACCAGCGAACUUUAGACUCGGCUGAUCAGGUUAGGCAGCGAGCGAUUGCGGCUAUUAAUGCCCUCCUUGGAUGAAUUGUAAAAGUACUGGCCGCUCUGUAAAAACAUUAAUGUCUUUUGACGGUUGACGUGCGGAUCCAAUCCUGAUCCAUC